rnacentral:rRNA from 1 species
GGACGAACGCUGGCGGCGUGCUUAACCCAUGCAAGUCGAACGGAAAGGCCCUGCUUUUGUGGGGUGCUCGCGUGGCGAACGGGUGAGUAACACGUGAGUAACCUGCCCUUGACUUUGGGAUAACUUCAGGAAACUGGGGCUAAUACCGGAUAGGAGCUCCUGCUGCUUGGUGGGGGUUGGAAAGUUUCGGCGGUUGGGGAUGGACUCGCGGCUUAUCAGCUUGUUGGUGGGGUAGUGGCUUACCAAGGCUUUGACGGGUAGCCGGCCUGAGAGGGUGACCGGCCACAUUGGGACUGAGAUACGGCCCAGACUCCUACGGGAGGCAGCAGUGGGGAAUAUUGCACAAUGGGCGGAAGCCUGAUGCAGCAACGCCGCGUGCGGGAUGACGGCCUUCGGGUUGUAAACCGCUUUCGCCUGUGACGAAGCGUGAGUGACGGUAAUGGGUAAAGAAGCACCGGCUAACUACGUG